GACAGAGGUCCCAAGCGUUAGGCGGAAUCACUGGGCUUAAAGCGUGUGUAGGCGGAUUUGUAAGUACCUUGUGAAAUCCCACGGCUCAACCGUGGAACUGCUUGGUAUACUGCUUAUCUUGGGUCAUCUAGGGGCGAGCGGAACAAACGGUGGAGCGGUGAAAUGCGUAGAUAUCGGGAGGAACACCAGUAGCGAAGGCGGCUCGCUGGGCCAUUCCUGACGCUGAGACGCGAAAGCUAGGGGAGCGAACAGG
rnacentral:rRNA from 1 species